CCACACAAAAAAGACCCGACAAGGAUUUUUCUUUUUUUUGCCAGCAGCUGAUCGUAAACUGCAGCAAGAGGCAACCGACACUCUCCGCCCCGCCCUCCUCUCCUUCCACUGGCGGUUUCUCUUUCGCUUCUCAGUCGUUGUGUAUACGCUGACACGCACUUUUCACAGCUGCCCUUCAUGUCGGACAAGGAGACCUAUGUGCGCCUCUUCUACAAGGGCACCAGCCUUGUUGUGCCAAUGUCGUUUGUUCUGAACGAACACCCUGGCGGUGCUGAGUACAUCCUGCAGUACGCCAACCAAGACAUCACGAGCGCCUUUGAGGACAUGAACCACUCUACCGACGCGCACGCACUUCUCAACACCUUUGAGGAGGUCGAGGCUAAGGAGGGCUUCAGGGACAUCUACAACCCGGCAGAGUAUCAACGCAAGAUCAAGCUGUCGCACAGCUACGACGAGGAGCGUCGUUACACCACAGAGGUGCGCCGGUGGCGCCAGAGAACCACGCUGAUCACGGUGAUGACGACACUGGCAGCGAUGGGUGUUGCCGCGUACGCGCUGCGACGUCAUCUGCAGCGCGCAUGAGGUGGCGGAUUUUUUUUUUGCAUGCUGUUCGCGUGUGGAGCAGAGGCGUUAGACACCAUGUGCGAGGUGCGCUGACUCUCACGCGGGUCCUCUACUCGUUCAUCUCGGCUGUUGCUGCUGCUACGAUGUGCUCUCUGCUUUCAUGCCACAUGCGACAACGGGAAAGCUGGGGUGAUGUGCGACAUGCCACUUAUUCUCUUUUCGCUUCGUUCGUGCUUGUUGGGCCAUCCCGUUUUCGCUUCCGGUAUCGCCCACGGCCUCAUCUGCUGCGCUUACCGGCGCGCGUUUGUGAUCCUGUUGAAGACACCGCUUUUUGGACCCUGUUUUCUGCUUGUCGCGCUCUUCCGUUUCUUCUCUGCUCCGCCCUGCCGCUAUCGCGGUUGCCUGUGUCACUUGCUGCUUCUUCAUCUGCGUGGGCCAUGCUAGUUGCCGUUCUCAAGGAGAGCGGCAAGCUCAUCUUAAGAGGCUGUGCUGUGCGCAGCAGGUGUACGAGUCCGCUGCAGUUAGCUGCGAGUACAGCACACACGGCAGUUCUUUUCUCUUGCCGCGACGCGGUGCUUCCGCAAAGGGAGAGAGCCACUCUCCCUCAUAGAUGUAUGCCGAAGCUAAAGUCUGGGCUGCAGUUACUCUCAGAUGUCACUGACGCCUCCUUUCUGUCGCACACUGUUCUACUCCCUCCAACCGUUGGGGCACUUGCUCGCUGAGUAUGCCUUUGCGUGUGCGCACGCGGGGAUAUGCCUGCCUGAACAUCGUCCUGGAAAAAAAAAAACACAUAUAUGUUUGUAUUGUUUUGCUUUCAUGAUCUCACCUAUCUUCUGCGUAUCCGCUCCCUACUAACUCUUACCGCUUAGUACGAUCUUUUCCAGUACGGAGUUGGCGUGCCGUACUCGCGUGCGGGCACGCCAUACACGUACCAGAUGCCUUGCCGAAACAACCGCACGAGCCUGCCCCCAGGAGAAACCGUGUUGGGGUCUGCGCGCGCCACUGCGGUUGUAAUGCGCCGUGUAUUCUUUGUUUUGUGAGCCGUCUUUCUCCAUGCCAGCGCGCGCAACCGAAAAACAAAAAGAAAUGCAAGCGGCGAACAUACGACGUCGCGUCUCUAUACGGCAGUACAUGAAAAAUGGAGAAGGGCGCAUCGCACGACGGCCUUGGCGACGUCGAAUCCGACUGCAACCCGCCGGCUAUAUCGAUCUCUUGCACAUGUGCGUGCA
rnacentral:misc_RNA from 1 species